AAUAGAUGCAGCCGAGCGGACUAAUGGGAGCUUGCUCCCGUUAGUUAGCGGCGGACGGGUGAGUAACACGUGGGCAACCUACCUGUAAGACUGGGAUAACUUCGGGAAACCGGAGCUAAUACCGGAUGACAUAAAGGAACUCCUGUUCCUUUAUUGAAAGAUGGCUUCGGCUAUCACUUACAGAUGGGCCCGCGGCGCAUUAGCUAGUUGGUGAGGUAACGGCUCACCAAGGCGACGAUGCGUAGCCGACCUGAGAGGGUGAUCGGCCACACUGGGACUGAGACACGGCCCAGACUCCUACGGGAGGCAGCAGUAGGGAAUCUUCCGCAAUGGACGAAAGUCUGACGGAGCAACGCCGCGUGAGCGAUGAAGGCCUUCGGGUCGUAAAGCUCUGUUGUUAGGGAAGAAUAAGUGCUAGUUGAAUAAGCUGGCACCUUGACGGUACCUAACCAGAAAGCCACGGCUAACUACGUGCCAGCAGCCGCGGUAAUACGUAGGUGGCAAGCGUUGUCCGGAAUUAUUGGGCGUAAAGCGCGCGCAGGCGGUUUCUUAAGUCUGAUGUGAAAGCCCCCGGCUCAACCGGGGAGGGUCAUUGGAAACUGGGAAACUUGAGUGCAGAAGAGGAAAGUGGAAUUCCAAGUGUAGCGGUGAAAUGCGUAGAGAUUUGGAGGAACACCAGUGGCGAAGGCGACUUUCUGGUCUGUAACUGACGCUGAGGCGCGAAAGCGUGGGGAGCAAACAGGAUUAGAUACCCUGGUAGUCCACGCUGUAAACGAUGAGUGCUAAGUGUUAGAGGGUUUCCGCCCUUUAGUGCUGAAGUUAACGCAUUAAGCACUCCGCCUGGGGAGUACGGUCGCAAGACUGAAACUCAAAGGAAUUGACGGGGGCCCGCACAAGUGGUGGAGCAUGUGGUUUAAUUCGAAGCAACGCGAAGAACCUUACCAGGUCUUGACAUCCUCUGACAACCCUAGAGAUAGGGCUUUCCCUUCGGGGACAGAGUGACAGUGUGCAUGGUUGUCGUCAGCUCGUGUCGUGAGAUGUUGGGUUAGUCCCGCACGAGCGCAACCCUUGAUCUUAGUGCCAGCAUUUAGUGGGCACCUCUAAGUGACUGCCGUGACAACGAGAGGUGGGGAUGACGUCAUCAUCAUGCCCUUAUGACCUGGUCUACACGUGCUACAUGAUGUACCAAGUGCAAGAACCCCAGGUGGAACCUUAAU
rnacentral:rRNA from 2 species